GCUGGAUUCGCUGUAAUCGCGCAUCAGCCACGGCGCGGUGAAUACGUUCCCGGGCCUUGUACACACCGCCCGUCAAGCCAUGGAAGCCGGGAGUGCCUGAAGUGCGUGAGCGCAAGCAGCGCCCUAAGGUAAAACCGGUGACUGGGGCUAAGUCGUAACAAGGUACC
rnacentral:rRNA from 1 species